rnacentral:rRNA from 1 species
CACGUAGGGCGCAAGCGUUGUCCGGAAUUAUUGGGCGUAAAGGGCUCGUAGGCGGCCAACUAAGUCAGACGUGAAAUCCCUCGGCUUAACCGGGGAACUGCGUCUGAUACUGGAUGGCUUGAGUUCGGGAGAGGGAUGCGGAAUUCCAGGUGUAGCGGUGAAAUGCGUAGAUAUCUGGAGGAACACCGGUGGCGAAGGCGGCAUCCUGGACCGAAACUGACACUGAGGAGCGAAAGCCAGGGGAGCAAACGGG